UACGGAGGGGACUAGCGUUGUUCGGAAUUACUGGGCGUAGAGCGCGCGUAGGCGGAUUUGCAAGUCGGGGGUGAAAGCCCGAGGCUCAACCUCGGAACUGCCCUCGAUACUGCAAAUCUCGAGUCCGAGAGAGGUGAGUGGAAUUCCUAGUGUAGAGGUGAAAUUCGUAGAUAUUAGGAAGAACACCAGUGGCGAAGGCGGCUCACUGGCUCGGUACUGACGCUGAGGCGCGAAAGCGUGGGGAGCAAACAGG
rnacentral:rRNA from 1 species